UUGACAUCCACAGAACUUUCCAGAGAUGGAUUGGUGCCUUCGGGAACUGUGAGACAGGUGCUGCAUGGCUGUCGUCAGCUCGUGUUGUGAAAUGUUGGGUUAAGUCCCGCAACGAGCGCAACCCUUAUCCUUUGUUGCCAGCGGUUAGGCCGGGAACUCAAAGGAGACUGCCAGUGAUAAACUGGAGGAAGGUGGGGAUGACGUCAAGUCAUCAUGGCCCUUACGACCAGGGCUACACACGUGCUACAAUGGCGCAUACAAAGAGAAGCGACCUCGCGAGAGCAAGCGGACCUCAUAAAGUGCGUCGUAGUCCGGAUUGGAGUCUGCAACUCGACUCCAUGAAGUCGGAAUCGCUAGUAAUCGUGGAUCAGAAUGCCACGGUGAAUACGUUCCCGGGCCUUGUACACACCGCCCGUCACACCAUGGGAGUGGGUUGCAAAAGAAGUAGGUAGCUUAACCUUCGGGAGGGCGCUUACCACUUUGUGAUUCAUGACUGGGGUGAAGUC
rnacentral:rRNA from 1 species